GUCCUACGGGGGGCAGCAGUGAGGAAUUUUGCGCAAUGGGCGAAAGCCUGACGCAGCAACGCCGCGUGAGUGAUGAAGGCCUUCGGGUCGUAAAGCUCUGUCAAGUGGGAAGAACCUAUAUAAUGCCAAUACCAUUAUAUAUUGACGGUACCACUGAAGGAAGCACCGGCUAACUCCGUGCCAGCAGCCGCGGUAAUACGGGGGGUGCAAGCGUUAUUCGGAAUCAUUGGGCGUAAAGAGCACGUAGGCGGCCUGGUAAGUCAGAUGUGAAAGCCCGGGGCUUAACCCCGGAAGUGCAUUUGAUACUGUCAGGCUUGAGUAUGGGAGAGGGAAGUGGAAUUCCUGGUGUAGAGGUGAAAUUCGUAGAUAUCAGGAGGAACACCGGUGGCGAAGGCGACUUCCUGGACCAAUACUGACGCUGAGGUGCGAAGGCGUGGGUAGCAAACAGGAUUAGAUACCCUAGUAGUC
rnacentral:rRNA from 1 species